CACUCCUAUUUUGGGGAAAUAUCGGGAGAACGUUUUGGGGAAACGCUGGAAACACUUUUCCCUUUUAUCCGACUUUGCGUCUUAGCACCGCGUGCGCUAAGCUCAGGGCGCAAAGUUGGGCCUGGGAGAUGGCGAAUGCUGGCUGCCUCGCCACUGCGGCCGGUGACCCUCUCUUCACAGCAGCGGCUCGGCAGCCCAAAUUCGCACGUCUCAUACUCCGCCCGGGUCUCAUACUCUAGGCCAUCGGAGCCACAGGUGAGGAAAGGCCUUUGGCUUCUCUGCAGGGCUGGUGACGAAGGAGUGAGAGGGGAAUGGCAGCUCCCACCAGUUCCUGCCUUUGAGACUCUGAGGCCAAGACGAAGACGUCUGGUAAUUCUGACCUUUGGUGUUUGCAUUACCAAAGGCCAAACACCUUUUGGAGUAACAGGACUGAAGGACGAAGCUCAGAAGCUUUGCUAUUCAUCAAACAAACCUUGGCAUGACAGAAAACACUGAUUUGGAUAAUUAUAUCAGCAUUUUGGUGUUUCUCCCCCCAAAGAUUAAUGUUUAACAACGGAAAAUGCAGGAAGGAAGCGGUGGGUGUUGGGCACUGGGAUUUUCCCUGUGUUUCGUGGCAGCCAUGUGCCUCCUGCCCUCAUCCUCAGAUAAGACAUGGCCUUGCUUUUUCUUUUCUUUUCUUUUUUUUCAAGGUUGAGUAGUUUCAGAAUGGAGACUGUCUGCUGGGAAACUCUAAAAAUGCUGCUGACUUCACCACUCCCCUGUGCUCAAAAUCCAUUUAUGUCCAUUUAUGUCCACUUGUGGUGCCAGCUGAGUCACUCCAGGACAGUUCUUAGCAUUUCUGCAUCUUAUGAUUUGCAAAGAGGAAGGACGAUACUUGCCCAGAGAGUUCCCUGGUGGUCUAAUGGUUAGGACUCGUCACUUUCAUCGCUGGGGCGCCGGGUCAGACCCUGGUCUGGAAACUGAGAUACCACAUCAAGUUGCAACAAACAACAAACAAAACAAAACAAAGCAAUAACAUGCCCAGUUUAUCUCACAGCACUGUGUUAGCAAACAAGAGAAUCCGUGGGAGAAUCCUAUUAAAUCAGUGACAUUCAGUGUGGAGACAGAGGCGGGGCAGAAAAUGGUGAGGCAGGCCAGUGAGAUAUGGCCUGUGAGGUCAGCCAGCCGACCUGGUGUGGAGUUCGGGCCAUUCUGAUGGGCUACGCAGCCCUGGAUUUAAGACUGGGUCUCCUCUUUUUACUGAAUGAGGUAAAUUCUUCAACGUACAGAAUUAUGACGGUAAAUGAUACACAUAUGUGAAAACCCUCCAAAAUGCUCCUCUUAUCUUUUCUAGCCUUCAUAUUAUCCCUUCUCUCUAUCUUAGAACCCACGGAAGAUCCUCAGACCAAAGCGAGGAGCUCAGACUAGCAGACAGGACAGUAGAAAACCAGAGAGAGGUCAUUAUGGCACCGGAAGAAAUGAUAAGUUAACAAAGGAGGAAGGAAAGAGAAGACGAGGGGAAUAACAGGUGGGUGGGCCUAGUUCAAGGAAGGGCUUUGAAGCUGUGUCAAGGAGUUUAGCAUCAUCUAGGCCAGUCAUUUCCAGGAUAGACUAAAAUGUCGCAAAAUCGGAGUGCACUUCUAAGGGGAAAAAGGGUCCAUAAUCUAUAUAGAGUGAUUUUCGGAGGCCAGAGAAAGCCCCAUGACCCCCCCUUUUUUUUUCUGCUUUAGGGCCACACCCUCAGCAUAUGGAAGUUCCCAGGCUAGGGGUCAAAUAGGAGCUACAACUGCUGGCCUACAC